rnacentral:rRNA from 1 species
UACGUAGGGGGCAAGCGUUGUCCGGAUUUAUUGGGCGUAAAGAGCGUGUAGGCGGUUAGGUAGGUCCGUUGUGAAAACUCGAGGCUCAACCUCGAGACGCCGAUGGAAACCAUCUGACUAGAGUCCGGAAGAGGAGAGUGGAAUUCCUGGUGUAGCGGCGAAAUGCGCAGAUAUCAGGAAGAACACCCGUGGCUAAGGCGGCUCUCUAGUACGUGACUGACGCUGAGACGCGAAAGCGUGGGGAGCGAACAGG